UCUGUGAGACCAACAUCACCCUCACACAAAGGCCAGCUAGAGAUACCUCAAGAAAAGAGAAUUACACACCAAUAUACCUUAUGAAUAUAGAUGCACUCUUGGUUUUGUUACCCAGCCACCACCUAUGAGAAACAGAUAUUUGCCAAAGCAAUUGAAACACCUGCUCUGUACCCUGUCAGCUGCGUACGUUGCUGCCAACUCAGUUCACAUACCAAAGAUGCAUUGCUUUGCUGGGAUCCUCAUAGGAUGUCUAGCACAGGGCCAGACUGCUCAGAAAGAAGUAUAUUCCGAAGUGGCCAUCUGUUGCAAAUUCUGCAGCUUCGUGAAUCACUCACAGGAGCUAACACAAGUGUGUGGAAGGUUUUGUGAGCUGCAACUCCUGAUGUUUCUGGACUUUCUCAGUAACAGACUCCGGAGUUUUAGCUGGGCACAAGGCUGCCCUGCCAAAGACUACAUUUCCCAACCACACUUGCAGUUGAGUGUGACUACAUUUUUAAGUUCUACCAAUGGAAUUCCAGUGGAACUGUGACCGUCAAGGCUCCUAACUACAACUGACCAAGCCUUUAUGAUAUGUCUCUACUGAGAUGGCUGACUUCCAACUCCAGAGAAAAUGACAAACAAAACAAACUUGUAAAAUGUCUUCAAUGAAAGUGUCAGUGUGGCGUGCAUAUUUUAAAAAUUAUUUAAUCUGCGGUACUUCAAUAAGUGGCCUUGGGAUAUCUGAAAUAACACAAGAAGAACUCUGCUGCCAUCUUGUGGUACUUUUCUCUAAAGACCCUCAUUAAGAAGUUAGCAAUUUAGUUCUGCCUGUGUAAAAUCAAUACCGAAAAUGUCAUCUAGACGUACAGUAUCCAUUUCAUUGCUAUGUCAGACCCAGGGGCAGAAGCUUUUCAAUUACAUGCCACACUACUCAAGUCGGUCCUUGGAAACUAACCUGAAAAAUCAAAUGGUCUCCAGUCAUGCUCUCAUGUUGGAACAAUGUUUUUAAAAUGAUUAGCACUACUGGACACUUUAUAAAAUGAUUUUAUACAUACCCUAAAUAUUUACUAUUCAUUAUAUACCUGUGGAGUAGAUAUAAAUAUCUUCAUUUUUUAAAAGAAGAAACUAAGGCUUUCAGAAUUUGAUUUACUCAAGUCUCCACAAUUAGUUAAAAAUAGAGCUGAAUUAAUUGUAACAAGGGCACUAUACCAAAGCUAAAUGCCAUUAAUAGGGGGAUAUGGAGGUAUAGUAUCUUUUUCUUUGGAAGAAAUGAGAUUGUUCUCACAUUAACUGUAGUGGUGAAUGCACAGUUAUGUGAUUAUACCAAGAGUCAUUUAUUGUACACUUAAGAUGGAUUGUAUGGU